rnacentral:lncRNA from 1 species
UUAUCUAUGGGUGGUUAAAAUACCUACUUUUUAUCUAUGGCCCAUUUAGGUAAUCAGAAAAAUCAAGGUGACGUUUGGGAUAAUUUUUUUGGAUUUUUUGAAUUACUUUAGUUAUUGAGUUUUUUUUUUAAUAAAAUUGUUUUGUUAUUUGGUCAAAAAAUUAUAUUUUUUUUUCUUUUUAAUGAAAUGAGUCCACGUUUGACAUAAGUUUUUUGGGAUUGCUUUCGUUAUCGAGUUUUUUUUUUUAGUAUUUUUUUUUUGCUAUUUGUUUAAAAAUUUAUAUUUUUUUUGUUCCUUUUAACGAGAGGAGUUCAAAAGUAUAAAAAAAUCAGCUCAUUUAAAAAAAAAAAAGUCACUAAAACGAAAAAAAUUAUUUUAUCCAAAAAAAUCUAAUGUUUUUUUUGUUUUUAGUAUUUUUUUUAAAUAGAUAAAAAAAUUAUAUUUUCAGAGUCUUCUCGCUAAGAAGAAAAAAAAGUAUAAAAAUGUAAUUGAAUUGUAAAAAGUUUUAUUAAAAAUGAAAAAUAAAUAAAUAUUACCCUAAGUUUCUUCACUUUUGAUUACACCAAGUAACAAAACACUCUCUCAUCUCGCAUGAAUGGUGAAUUUUACGAUAAAUUUAAUUCAUAAAAUUAAAACAAAAUCCUUAAUAUUUUUCUUAAUUAUAAAAUUAACCCUCAUAUAUUCCAUUACACUUUUUCUAAUUUUUAACUAUAAAAGAAUAAUUUAGACAUUUAUUCAAAAAUUUCUCAAUUAAAAAAGAACAUGUAAUGCAUUUAGUAAAAAAUAUAGUACCAAAAUCAUUGAAAAAUAAAUAAUAAAUACAAUUUUGAGAUUCAACUAUCUAUUUUUAAAUACAAAUAUGAUAUGAUAAGGUGAAUAUAGAAACACCAAAUGGCAUAAGGACAUAGGAGCAAGCGGGGUCAAUUGCCUCCCACUAAAAAAAAUUUACAGUGUUAGUCCUUGUAUAGUUUACUAUAAAUAUAAUUUUGACCCUACAAAAAAUUAUUUUGACGAGUUUAACUUUACUGAAAUUAUUUUUUGGCUUGAAACACCUAAUUUUUUUUUUGAUUAACAACAGUAUCGGAGGUUCUAAAGUUCAGACUAAUCUGUUGUCUGUGGCAGCUAACCCUUCACAUCCACAUGAUGUAAAUGCGGUUAUGCAACGCAGCAGCCAAAUCGAACGUUCGUCUUUUGCCAAUAUGCUAUAUACCCGGGGACAACCGGUGAAAUUCGAAUCUAAAACUGAAAUCUUACAAGGCUUGUUUUUACUACUAGGCUAAGACUUGGCUUCUAACACCUCAUUAGUUUUCACUGGUGAAGGAUGGGAACUAUAAGGAAUGUACACGUGUGAUUUCACGUGAUGUGUGGCCCACAGCACGUGGAUCUUUUGGAGUGGGAAUUACUUCUCCUACUUGAUAUCUUCCCCCUUUUCAUAAAAGAUGAGAGAGAGAGAGAGAGAGAGAGAGAGAGAGAUGCGAUUGGAGUUGUGACGCAGAAAGGGAAAUGUGUGUGUUGGUUUACCAGUUUGGGUUGGGUUGGUGGUUGGUUAACUUGGUUGUGGUGGAGUGGAGUGGGGCCACAGACUCUCUCUCUCAUG